GAUGAACGCUGGCGGCGUGCCUAAUACAUGCAAGUCGAGCGAACGGACGAGAAGCUUGCUUCUCUGAUGUUAGCGGCGGACGGGUGAGUAACACGUGGAUAACCUACCUAUAAGAAUGGGAUAACUUCGGGAAACCGGAGCUAAUACCGGAUAAUAUUUUGAACCGCAUGGUUCAAAAGUGAAAGACGGUCUUGCUGUCACUUAUAGAUGGAUCCGCGCUGCAUUAGCUAGUUGGUAAGGUAACGGCUUACCAAGGCAACGAUGCAUAGCCGACCGGAGAGGGUGAUCGGCCACCCUGGAGCUGAGCCACGGUCCAUGCUCCUACGGGAGGCAGCAGUAGGGAAUCUUCCGCAAUGGGCGAAAGCCUGACGGAGCAACGCCGCGUGAGUGAUGAAGGUCUUCGGAUCGUAAAACUCUGUUAUUAGGGAAGAACAUAUGUGUAAGUAACUGUGCACAUCUUGACGGUACCUAAUCAGAAAGCCACGGCUAACUACGUG
rnacentral:rRNA from 1 species